AAGACUGUAAUACCUAUUGUAUGAGUUAUGUAAGUCAAGGUACUUAAAGUAGAAUUAAAACUUAAUGACAAUUUAGCAUUAAUAGAAAAGAGAAGAAAGAUUACGUUCUAAAUUCAUGCGACAAAAUAAUUCAAUAAACUUUAUCAUGCUAAGAUAAAGCGUUUCUGGUUUGAUAUUUUAUACUUGUAUGGAUUUUACGAUACUUAUUAUAUUUUAGUUUGUGUUGAAGUUCGUGAAAAAAAGAGUACACUCCGCGCAAUGAAAAAUAUAAUUGAGAGUAAUCGUGGUAUAAUAAGCAGUUGGUUUUAGAUAAUUUUAAAUUUCGAAUUGGUUCAUGUAAUAAAUGACUUAUUCGUUAGCGGUGUAUAACUAAAAACUGCCCAGCAAAAGCGCAUACAGAUGAAAAUUAUACGGUUAUUAACAAUACGAGUACGCCACAUUGCAACUAUGGUGAAUAUUCCAGCUAAGCAUUGAAAAAUCAGGUGCUAAAUACAGCAUGUAAAAGAAAAGCUAUAUUGAAAAUUUUCUGAAAUGUGGACGCAAACCAAUAUUUAAGGACCCCGAUUUCGCUUAACCCAGUCUUGGUACCGUAAAAUACAAGAAAUUGUCUUACCAAGUGUGUAUGAAGACGAGUCACCUGAAAUUGAGGAUCUCCAAACUUUCUAAGGACCCUCUCACCGGCGCACCACAAUACCACAAAGAUUAUACGUCCGCAUAGAUUAUAUUAUUAUA